ACCGCUCUGUUGAUAUAGUGGUUAGAGCGUCCGCCUUGGAUGCGGGAGGUCGUGGGUUCGAUCCCCGAUCGAGUCAUA